rnacentral:rRNA from 1 species
UACGUAGGGUGCAAGCGUUAAUCGGAAUUACUGGGCGUAAAGCGUGCGCAGGCGGUUUUGUAAGUUUGUCGUGAAAUCCCCGGGCUCAAUCUGGGAAUGGCGAUGAAGACUGCAAGGCUAGAAUCUGGCAGAGGGGGGUAGAAUUCCACGUGUAGCAGUGAAAUGCGUAGAGAUGUGGAGGAACACCGAUGGCGAAGGCAGCCCCCUGGGUCAAGAUUGACGCUCAUGCACGAAAGCGUGGGGAGCAAACAGG